AAAAAACAACGAGAACGUUUGCUGAAAGAUUAAUGGAUUCCUCUCUGUAAGAUAUUUGAAAGUAGUGUAAAGAAAGGCGUAUCGACAGAUGUAUGGACCCAUCUUUCGCCAUCCUCCUAAGCAUUAGUACACUUUUAAUGUUAGAGUUGUAGAGUCCUUCACGUUCCGCGUUAUCUCACAUCAAUAGUGUAACAUCGCGGCGAAAAAAAGGUUCUCUCCGCACUACGUACUUAACCUCGUUCUCGACAAAAAGGAUUUGGAUGAGUAACAACUAUUGAUGUGAAGCGAUCGCUUCUCUGCAGACACUACGGUUAGUUGGCAUGGAGAUUGGCAAGAAAGCGCGCGCUCGCCUUGUUUUCUGAGCCACGCAUACUGACCAUAGAAUUCGUGCGUUGAUCACAAGGUGUUAUCGUAAGGCUAGGGACAGCUGGCGUGUCGUUAAGCGCGGAAACAAACUUUUUAGACCCUCUCCAGCGAUAAGAUAGGACUAGAAGCUACCAUGAACGAGCCUGGUGAGAAAUUUCAUUGGGUUUCGCGCGCAAAAUGGAAAAACGGAAUUUAUCAAAAAAAGUUCCCACGGUAGUAGGACACGAAAGCUCUAGAACAGACGGACAUGCUCGUUCCCCGGGGACAUCUAGGUUAUCUUGAAUAUGAAUACGCAUAGCACUUGUCAAGUGGCCUGAGAAUGAACAGAGACGUAUUUACCCGAGAAACAAAUCCUAAAUUCACCCAGCUUAGCACACAACGAAUACCAGCCGGGAUAUAGAAGCGCCUAUGAUACACAGUUGUUAGAGCUUAACAGGUCGAGUGUGUUCAAGGUACUCUAAGUACAACGCUACUAACGAUCUAAGUGACAAAUCCGUGCAAUAAGGAUGUGUAUAUAUCAAUAAUAUGUGUUUUAUGGCUUUGAAUGCGGUGAGCAUAUUAUUAGGUGUUCUGGUUUUCGUCAUACUUAAGUGGGUCUGUACGAUUUGAGUUUUGAAAUCUCUAAUAAUCCCAUACCACAUUUCGAAAUCUUUAAGCUGAAUUUAAACUUUGUAUUUCUUUGAGAGUGGCAUAACACUGUAUCCUAACGACGUCCAAAUAUUUAAGGAUUUCUGUCGAAGAUUCCUGACUGAUAUGAAAGGAAUUAGGGAAUUUGGCCAAAUUACAUCAGAGUCAACGUUGCAAAACUGUGAUUGAAAAUAAUUAUUUUCAUAAUAUUACUAUUACUUGUAGGUAUGAUGUUAUUUUGAUUGCAUGAAAAAAAGGGUAAUUCAUGUUUAAGGUAGCUUAAGUAUCUAAAUUUACGCGUAGUAGCAAUAAGAUACUUUCUUGCUGUAACUUUAAAAUGCUAAAAUCGUUUUUUAACAUUAUACAUGGAUUCCUUUUGUUUUGGACAAGCAUGGCUGCGAAGAAUUGGUUUAAAAUCAUCGCAAACAAACAAGAAACUAAAUUACAUGAAUAUGGAUCAUAGCAAGUGACACUUAAAAGUUAAUCGUCUUUGUUUUUACAUAAAUAAAAUGAUAUUUUUGUCUUGGAGAUUUUCUUACUUAUUUCAACAGUAAAGAAACGUCGUCAUGAAACCACUUUGUAAUUCCCUGUGAAGGAACUCAUCGGCCCAUCUAUGGCCACUAGCGCCUUUUGUCAUUGUUGUGUUUGCUCUCAGGGAAAACAAACUCUCAGCCAAAUCAGAGCAGAGUAAAUGGGCUCUUGUUAUGAUAGAGUGGGCAAUGAUAGCAAAAACAGUGUCAAUUUGGAUCGGGUAAACAAACGUUUCGCAAAUGUAAACGAAUGGAUGUUUCAUGAAUGGCCUGUGUUUUAUACCAUGGCCUUUAAGGUCAUUACACCAUUAGUGGCAAGCCACCGCUUGAAACGAUGAUUAAAGUCAAUUUUGUAAUGAUUGUGGAAGUCCUUUAUCAAACAAAUUACGCUAUAAGUCCUCCUUUAUUAUAGGAUUACGGUUAUAUCGAUAUUUGAGCUGGAAUUCGCCACCUAAUAACGUGAGAAAAGGGUGAUAUCGAAGCUAUCAAUGGGCAUACCCCUCAUUCGGUAGUGAAGUCGCUAAAAUCCGAGUCAUUUACACAGGAAGUGUAGGGGGUGAGUAGUAGAGUGAUUUCUAACGUUUUGUAAUGAAUACUUUUCCAAACAAAAAUUCAUAAAGUGAACAUGUUUGUUUUGCCCAAAAGAAUUGUUUCAAAAGCCACGCCAUUGUUUUGUCUACUCACAAACACCAUUCUUAACAGCUCUGCAUAAGAAAAUUGUAUUAUCUAUACCAUUAAAAGCUUAUAUUGGUUUUCGAUCUCCCUGAAAUUGUUUUGACGAUAGAUUUAACCAUCUCAGGUAAUGACUAUCAAGAAAUUUUUUUUUUCGCAUUGGAAGACCCUUCAGCGCUUUCUAUAGAGAGCCACUGGCCUAAAUAUGUGUUCAGGUUCAGAUAAACACUGGUAUUUUAGGGCAAGCUCACGAAGGUAUUGAGGUGAUUUCAUCAAUUCUCUAGCUUGCUUGUUGUAUAUACAUCCUUUAAUCUCUGGAAUAUUAAAAUGUGAUAGUUUUAGAGCAAUAAACGCGAUUGUUAGGCAAAAGAAAUUUACUUGACUUUAUAUGUUUUGCUACUUGCUAUUUUCUACAAUUUAAUAAGGAGUAGGCUCAAUUCACAAAAGACGCAAUACUUGUCUACAAGUAAUGGAAAUUACAGUAAUGAGACUUGUUUUUGGGUGAGAUAAAAAGGCUCUACCCCAUUUUCUUAGAGAGAUCCUCUUCCAAGCCUUCUUCACGAAUAUUCUCAAUCACGAUAUAUAAUUGAAAAUCACCUGAAAGUAACUUUAGAAUAAGAUGAUGAUAACUCAUAGCGAUUGAGCUAUUUUUCAUCUGGGUACGUACGGAGCGUGUCUUGUAUUUUACCUCAUAGAAAAAGUUUAGGACUCUGCAGCACCACCUUCGAUCAGACAGUUAAACUAACUUGCUAAAUUUCCAGCUCUCCUUGCUUGAUACGAAUUCGUGAGCGAUUGUUAAGCUCGACCCUCGCGUGCUGUAUGCUUGCGAGAGAUGGGAGAGAUGAUGGAGACUCUGGUGUUGAUGGGGGAGACAACUGUGGUGAGG